rnacentral:rRNA from 1 species
AUGUCCUACACGACGGAAGUCCGUGCGGGAUCCGGUAGUAAAGGCCCAUAUUAUUAUGAGGACUUGGAGGAUAUGAUGUUUGACAACAUAUAUAAAUCCCUCAAUUCUAACUUUGCGGAUGGUAGCAUUGGGGAGGUUGCUGAACAAUUUUUGAUAAUGCAUGAAGAAUGCCUGGAAAACAACUUUUCAUCGGUUGAGAAAUUAAGGAAUACACGUCCUCAAGGAAAUGCUGUUUCCCAAAGUAGACAGAUGGUACCGGAGGAUGAUGAUGAUGAUAGCUCUGAUGAUGGUGAUGAGCCAUCAAUGGGGAAAGAUGAAGCAGCUAGAUCAGAUGAUAUGGUGAUAGAUCAGCCAAAACCUUCCAAGCCUACCCCUGAUGCUGAUGGGUGGACUGUUGUGCCUCCUAGGCGUGGCCGAGGCAAGAAUUAA